rnacentral:rRNA from 1 species
UAGGGAAUCUUCGGCAAUGGGGGCAACCCUGACCGAGCAACGCCGCGUGAGUGAAGAAGGUUUUCGGAUCGUAAAGCUCUGUUGUAAGUCAAGAACGGGUGUGAGAGUGGAAAGUUCACACUGUGACGGUAGCUUACCAGAAAGGGACGGCUAACUACGUGCCAGCAGCCGCGGUAAUACGUAGGUCCCGAGCGUUGUCCGGAUUUAUUGGGCGUAAAAGCGAGCGCAGGCGGUUUGAUAA